AACGUUACCNNNNNNUUGCCUCGGCGGGAUCUUCUGCCCCGGGUGCGUCGCAGCCCCGGACCAAGGCGCCCGCCGGAGGAAUCAACCAAAACUCUUAUUGUAUACCCCCUCGCGGGUUUUUUUUAUAAUCUGAGCCUUCUCGGCGCCUCUCGUAGGCGUUUCGAAAAUGAAUCAAAACUUUCAACAACGGAUCUCUUGGUUCUGGCAUCGAUGAAGAACGCAGCGAAAUGCGAUAAGUAAUGUGAAUUGCAGAAUUCAGUGAAUCAUCGAAUCUUCGAACGCACAUUGCGCCCGCCAGUAUUCUGGCGGGCAUGCCUGUCCGAGCGUCAUUUCAACCCUCGAACCCCUCCGGGGGGUCGGCGUUGGGGAUCGGCCUUCCUUCACGGGGGCCGUCUCCGAAAUACAGUGGCGGUCUCGCCGCAGCCUCUCCUGCGCAGUAGUUUGCACACUCGCAUCGGGAGCGCGGCGCGUCCACAGCCGUUAAACACCCAACUUUCUGAAAUGUUGACCUCGGAUCAGGUAGGAAUACCCGCUGAACUUA
rnacentral:rRNA from 1 species